rnacentral:pre_miRNA from 1 species
AAACCAGUUGUAGGGUACCUCUUACUUGGCAAGCAAUGGUGAUUGUUGCAAACAUUGCAGAAUUUGAUCUCGGUGUCUUGCCAAAGGAGAGUUGCCCUAUGACUGUUU